UGACCGGAUCCGGGAAGGCCUCUUAGGCCAUGAGAAGAAGAUCAUUCUGGCCUCUGUGCAGAGGGCAAGAAUAGAAGAAGAUCAGGUUAUCACAGUGGUUCAACAAGAUGACUGCAGCUCGGAGCUAGAGAUGACAAAAGCGGAGGGAUUUAGCAGGUCUUGGGGAAGAGAUGGCAAGACUUGCUGAUGGCGUAUAUGAAGGGAAUGACGGGGACAAGAAGGAUCGAGAGCGACACCUGAAUUAGACUGUAGCAGCUGUGCAGAGUGUGCUGUCACCCACUAAAGUGGUGAAGACCACAGGAGAAACAGAAGUCCACAAAGAAUUCCAGUCAGCUGUCGCAUGCUUAGAGAAGAGAUCUUGUCUCUUUAAAAUAUUGCCAAAUGAAGCUAGCUGCCGGACCAGGGGCUUCUGUGAAGACACGUCCACUGUUCCCCUUCAGCUCCCUCUUUCACCGCCAACCCACUGCCAUCAAACUCUCCCCUUUCUCCACCAUCAGCACUUGCUUUUACAAAAUUAUCAUUACAAUAACAAGAGGACCUUUCAUUUUAAUAAAAGAUCUGGAAGGAUCUACACUAAAGUGUUAGCUGCUAUUUCUGCGUGAAGAGAUUAUGGAAUUUUUUUCUUAUUAUCAUGUAUGUGAAUAAUUAAUUAUGCAAACUAGUAUUGAUUUGGUGAUAAGAAAAUAAAAGUAAAAGUUUUUUCCCCUCCAAGAAAAAGAAUGCUUCAUCUUUUUAUGAGAAUUUACUCUCUAUAAAGGACUUUUAGUUCCAUUGCAUCAAUGGCACUUCCUAACCACCCUCUGAAUAAAUCAUUUAUUCCCACUUACAGAUGAGACCACCAAGAGGGAGAGAAGGGAAUUGUUUGGCUGCGGGUGACAAAGCUAGUAA
rnacentral:lncRNA from 1 species